AAUACUUGCAACAUUAUCUAUAGGCACUGGUAUGGAUUGAUUUGGCCUUCUUAAUCUCAUGUGACAAAUGACAGUUUAGAAUUCAUCGAUGUAGUAUAUGGACUACAUGUCCCAUAAUCACUCUGGGCUCACGUAGCCAAUGGCAUGGGAAGUAGCACAUCUAGUUUGCCAUUUCAUGAUAUCUAGUGUGUGCGCGCAUUAAAAAAGUUAGCAAGCGCCGCUGAAGUCACGUCUGCUCAUUACUACACAACACCAGCAUAUGAGGGCUUUCAUAUACAGGACGAGUUUGAAGCACAGCGCUCUUACCGAUGGGUGAGCCUGGAACCAGGUGCCGUUGAUCAUCCUUUGUCUCACAUCAUCGCCAGAUCAACAACUCACCUACAGAUCCUGUACUGCUUGUCUGGCAAAACGCCUGCCUGCCCGUUCACAUGUUCUAUCACCAAACUGCCCACCGGAUUCUUUGGACACUAUCUACCACUCCCUCUCAUCAUCAAUGAAUUAGGUCCCCCGUUAUUCCAGGA